UACAGAGGGGGCAAGCGUUGUUCGGAAUUACUGGGCGUAAAGGGCGCGUAGGCGGCCUUCUAAGUCGAACGUGAAAUCCCCGGGCUCAACCCGGGAACUGCGUCCGAGACUGGAAGGCUUGAAUCCGGGAGAGGGAUGUGGAAUUCCAGGUGUAGCGGUGAAAUGCGUAGAUAUCGGGAGGAACACCUGUGGCGAAGGCGACCCCCUGGUUGGAUACUGACGCUGAGACGCGAAAGCGUGGGGAGCAAACAGG
rnacentral:rRNA from 1 species